GCUUUUCCUCAGGUCCCGCGCGGCGCGCCCCUGUGUCGCAGGCGCCCUGCCGCUGCCCGCAGCUUUUGGGGGGUUCGGGGGCGGGGGAAGCAGGGCCGCAGAAGGCCCAAUCGGAGCCUUCUGACACCCGCCCCGGCCCGCCGCCCUCCCGGAGCUUCCGUCCCCGCCGCCUGGCUCCUUACUGACACGCGCGCCGCCCCCGGUCGCCCGUUUUCCCUGGGCUCCGGCCUCCUCUCGCUUCCAGCCCUGGCCUGAGGGACACCGUUCUCGCCCCAGCCCCAGCGCUCGGCCUCCGCAGAGCCGGCCCAACGAAGGAAGAAUGAAAAUAUGAACGUGACAUGAUGUGGGCUUGAGAGGCCGCCUUGUUCUUUGGAUUCACCCAGAAACCUGACUGAAAGGAAAGUUACUGCAACUGGGGAAAAGCACAGUUGGCUGGAGAAUUUGGUUUAAAAAUAAAUAAGUUUUAAAUUACGUAACUAACACGUGCUUGGUGUAGAAAAUUUGGAAAACAUAUGAAAGUACGGUAUAAAAAUCCUCGAUCCCACUGCCACAUAGAAC
rnacentral:lncRNA from 10 species